UACGAAGGGGGCUAGCGUUGCUCGGAAUCACUGGGCGUAAAGGGUGCGUAGGCGGGGCUUUAAGUCAGGGGUGAAAUCCUGGAGCUCAACUCCAGAACUGCCUUUGAUACUGAGGAUCUUGAGUACGGGAGAGGUGAGUGGAACUGCGAGUGUAGAGGUGAAAUUCGUAGAUAUUCGGCGGAACACCAGUGGCGAAGGCGACUCACUGGCCCGAUACUGACGCUGAGGCGCGAAAGCGUGGGGAGCAAACAGG
rnacentral:rRNA from 1 species